rnacentral:rRNA from 1 species
GAGUCUUAAUAGGGCGUUUAGUCGCUGGGUAUAGACCCGAAACCGGGCGAUCUAUCCAUGAGCAGGUUGAAGGUUAGGUAACACUGACUGGAGGACCGAACCCACUCCCGUUGAAAAGGUAGGGGAUGACUUGUGGAUCGGAGUGAAAGGCUAAUCAAGCUCGGAGAUAGCUGGUUCUCCUCGAAAGCUAUUUAGGUAGCGCCUCAUGUAUCACUCUGGGGGGUAGAGCACUGUUUCGGCUAGGGGGUCAUCCCGACUUACCAAACCGAUGCAAACUCCGAAUACCCAGAAGUGCCGAGCAUGGGAGACACACGGCGGGUGCUAACGUCCGUCGUGAAAAGGGAAACAACCCAGACCGCCAGCUAAGGUCCCAAAGUUGUGGUUAAGUGGUAAACGAUGUGGGAAGGCUUAGACAGCUAGGAGGUUGGCUUAGAAGCAGCCAUCCUUUAAAGAAAGCGUAAUAGCUCACUAGUCGAGUCGGCCUGCGCGGAAGAUGUAACGGGGCUCAAACCACACACCGAAGCUGCGGGUGUCACGUAAGUGACGCGGUAGAGGAGCGUUCUGUAAGCCUGUGAAGGUGAGUUGAGAAGCUUGCUGGAGGUAUCAGAAGUGCGAAUGCUGACAUGAGUAACGACAAUGGGUGUGAAAAACACCCACGCCGAAAGACCAAGGGUUCCUGCGCAACGUUAAUCGACGCAGGGUUAGUCGGUUCCUAAGGCGAGGCUGAAAAGCGUAGUCGAUGGGAAACAGGUUAAUAUUCCUGUACUUCUGGUUACUGCGAUGGAGGGACGGAGAAGGCUAGGCCAGCUUGGCGUUGGUUGUCCAAGUUUAAGGUGGUAGGCUGAAAUCUUAGGUAAAUCCGGGGUUUCAAGGCCGAGAGCUGAUGACGAGUCGUCUUUUAGAUGACGAAGUGGUUGAUGCCAUGCUUCCAAGAAAAGCUUCUAAGCUUCAGGUAACCAGGAACCGUACCCCAAACCGACACAGGUGGUCGGGUAGAGAAUACCAAGGCGCUUGAGAGAACUCGGGUGAAGGAACUAGGCAAAAUGGCACCGUAACUUCGGGAGAAGGUGCGCCGGCUAGGGUGAAGGAUUUACUCCGUAAGCUCUGGCUGGUCGAAGAUACCAGGCCGCUGCGACUGUUUAUUAAAAACACAGCACUCUGCAAACACGAAAGUGGACGUAUAGGGUGUGACGCCUGCCCGGUGCCGGAAGGUUAAUUGAUGGGGUUAGCGCAAGCGAAGCUCUUGAUCGAAGCCCCGGUAAACGGCGGCCGUAACUAUAACGGUCCUAAGGUAGCGAAAUUCCUUGUCGGGUAAGUUCCGACCUGCACGAAUGGCGUAACGAUGGCGGCGCUGUCUCCACCCGAGACUCAGUGAAAUUGAAAUCGCUGUGAAGAUGCAGUGUAUCCGCGGCUAGACGGAAAGACCCCGUGAACCUUUACUGUAGCUUUGCACUGGACUUUGAGCCUGCUUGUGUAGGAUAGGUGGGAGGCUUUGAAGCGUGGACGCCAGUUCGCGUGGAGCCAUCCUUGAAAUACCACCCUGGCAUGCUU